UACUCUGACCUUUUGUUUUAUUUCUAGAAAAUGCAAUUCUUGACUUGAGAUGAAUCAGUUCCCCAAUUUAUACUUCAUUCGUGGAAACUGGGUCUUGGGCAACAUCUCAGCAAUUCCUUCCAAUCUGAAGUUCUCUCAUCUGCUGGUAACCGGUCCAUUCCUAUUGGCGUUCAAGCAAUCACAAACACAUCCUACUUUUGAGAAAUGUUCCAAAGGAGGAGUCAAAGCGGCUGUAAUCUUGAUUCGGUUUUAUGGGCAAUAGAAUUAUUUUACUGAUUCCUGGAAUCAUGGCUCCUAUACAUCUGCACUCUAUGAGCACUUUGGAAAUUAAAGGAUUGCCAGCUUUUCCACUUUGGGACAAAAAACAUUUGUGCUAAACAGCCGGUAAGUAAAUGCAGUAAACAUAUUUUUACAGUGAAUAGAAUUGUUUUAUAUUUUGGGUACUGAUUGUGAAUCUCUAGUGCUUCUUGAUUAGCAAACAUUUGGCAGUUCCCGAGUCUUUAGACAUUAAAAUGCCAAAACAGAUUUUUAUUUUCAGACUGAGCUCCUAUAUUUUUUUCAUUCCCCUAACAAUUAUCUUCAAAACAUUUGAAAGCACUAAAAUAAAACGUGUUCUGAAAACACAUUCGGAAAUGUUUUACCUGUGUGACUUUAAUAAGUAUGUAAAUAAAAAAAAAAUACUGGGUUGCUGUCUAACUUCCUUAG
rnacentral:lncRNA from 1 species